GGCCAGUUAGCUCAGUUGGUUAGAGCGUGGUGUUAAUAACACCAGGGUCAUGGGUUCGGAUCCCCAUACUGGCUA